rnacentral:rRNA from 1 species
ACGAACGCUGGCGGCAUGCCUAACACAUGCCAGUCGCACGAGACCUUCGGGUCUAGUGGCGCACGGGUGCGUAACGCGUGGGAACCUGCCCUUAGGUUCGGAAUAACUCCCCGAAAGGGGUGCUAAUACCGGAUAAUGUCUUCGGACCAAAGAUUUAUCGCCUUUGGAUGGGCCCGCGUUGGAUUAGCUAGUUGGUAGGGUAAAAGCCUACCAAGGCGACGAUCCAUAGCUGGUCUGAGAGGAUGAUCAGCCACACUGGGACUGAGACACGGCCCAGACUCCUAUGGGAGGCAGCAGUGGGGAAUAUUGGACAAUGGGCGAAAGCCUGAUCCAGCAAUGCCGCGUGAGUGAUGAAGGCCUUAGGGUUGUAAAGCUCUUUUACCCGGGAUGAUAAUGACAGUACCGGGAGAAUAAGCUCCGGCUAACUCCGUG